UUAAUUGAAGAGUUUGAUCAUGGCUCAGAUUGAACGCUGGCGGCAGGCUUAACACAUGCAAGUCGAGCGGUAGCACAAGGGAGCUUGCUCCCCGGGUGACGAGCGGCGGACGGGUGAGUAAUGUCUGGGAAACUGCCUGAUGGAGGGGGAUAACUACUGGAAACGGUAGC
rnacentral:rRNA from 1 species